GGGAUGGGAUUGGAAUCGAACCCACGACCUUCCGCUUACCGGGCAGAUGCCAUGACCACUAGGCUACCCUGGAC